rnacentral:rRNA from 1 species
UUUGGAGGGCAAGUUUGGUGCCAGCAGCCGCGGUAAUUCCAGCUCCAAUAGGGUAUAUUAAAGUUGUUGCAGUUAAAAAGCUUGUAGUUGAAUUUCGGGAUCAAUAUUUGCGGUGCAUAGCCGUUGGUAUGCACUGGUAUCAUUGAGUUUCUCACCUUCUAAAGAACCGUAAUGCCAUUAAUUUGGGUUACGGGAAUUAGGA